GGAAGGGUGCAAGCGUUACUCGGAAUUACUGGGCGUAAAGCGUGCGUAGGUGGUGAGUUAAGUCUGUCGUGAAAGCCCCGGGCUCAACCUGGGAAUGGCGAUGGAUACUGGCUCGCUAGAGUGCGGUAGAGGAGAGUGGAAUUCCCGGUGUAGCAGUGAAAUGCGUAGAGAUCGGGAGGAACAUCAGUUGCGAAGGCGGCUCUCUGGACCAGCACUGACACUGAGGCACGAAAGCGUGGGGAGCAAACAGGAUUAGAUACCCUGGUAGUCCACGCCCUAAACGAUGCGAACUGGACGUUGGGAGCAAUCAGGCUCUCAGUGUCGAAGCUAACGCGUUAAGUUCGCCGCCUGGGGAGUACGGUCGCAAGACUG
rnacentral:rRNA from 1 species